rfam:Trichinella papuae scaffold1612s, whole genome shotgun sequence.
GCCCCAGUGGCGCAAUCGGUUAGCGCAUCGUACUUAUAAAGCAGUGCUUGAUCUGCUAGCGAUAUGCGAAGGUUGUGAGUUCGAUCCUCACCUGGGGCA